GGUCAAUGAUAGACUACAUACAGAAUGGUAGUCCCAUAAGAUUAUAAUGGAGCUGAAAAAUUCCUAUAAUCUAGUGAUAUUGCAGUCUUUGUAAUAUUGUAGUGCAAUGUGUUACUGGCGUUUGUGGUGAUGCAGGUAUUAACAAAUCUAUUCAGCUGCCAGUCAUAAAAGCACAGCACGUGCAGUUAUAUACAGUAUGUAAUACUUGAUAAUGACAAUAAACAAUUGUUACUGGUUUAUGUACUUACUAUACUAUAUACUUUUCAUUAUUUUAGAGUGUACUCAUCUCCUUAUUAAAAAAAGUGUUAACUGUAAAAUAGCCUCAGGGAGGUUCUUCAGAAGGUAUUACGAAAGAAGGCAUCAUUUAAGUUAUCACAGAUGACAGCUCUGUGUUUGUUAUUUCCCCUGGAGUCCCUCCAGUGGGACACGAAGACAGUGAUACUGAUGAUCCUGACUCUCUGUACGUCUAUGCUAAUGUGUGCUUGUGUCUUAGUUUUAACAAAAAAGUUUAAAAAUAAAUAAAAAAUGUUAAAAAUAGAAAAAAAACAGAGAAUAAAGAUAUAAAUAUUUUUGUAUAGCUGUCUGUACAAUGUGUUUGUGUUUUAUUACAAGAGUCAAAAAGUAAAAAUAAAAAGUUUAUUAAGUAAAAAAGUUAAGCCUGGGCAUUGUGGCUCAUGCUUGAAAUCCCAGCAUUUUGGGAGGCCAAGGGAAUUGAUCACUGAGGUCAGUUCAAGACUAGCCUGGCUAACAUGGUAAAACUCCAUCUCUACUAAAAAUACAACAAUUAGCCAGGCAUGGUGGUGAGCACCUGCAAGCCCAGCUACUGGGGAGGCUGAGGCAGGAGAAUCGCUUGAACCCGGGAGAUGGAGGUUGCACAAUUCUCCCCGCUCAGACUCCCAAGUAUUUGAGUCUACAGGCACCCGCCACCACACCCGGCUAAUUUUUUUUGUAUUUUUAGUAGAGAUGGGGUUUCGCCAUGUUGACCAGGCUGGUCACGAACCCCUGACCUAAGGUGAUCCGCCUG
rnacentral:lncRNA from 10 species